GACGAACGCUGGCGGCGUGCCUAACACAUGCAAGUCGAACGGAGAUACUUUUGAAGCUUGCGAAGGAGUAUCUUAGUGGCGGACGGGUGAGUAACGCGUGGGUAAUCUGCCCAUAAGCGGGGAACAACAGUUGGAAACGACUGCUAAUACCGCAUAAACUGCCUAAGGGCAGGAAAGGUGGCCUCUGAAUAUGCUGCCGCUUAUGGAUGAGCCCGCGUCUGAUUAGCUGGUUGGUGGGGUAAAGGCCUACCAAGGCGACGAUCAGUAGCCGGCCUGAGUGGGUGGACGGCCACACUGGGACUUAGAAAGGGCCCAGACUCCUACGGGGAGCAGCAGUGGGGAAUAUUGCGCAAUGGGGGAAACCCUGACGCAGCGACGCCGCGUGAGCGAAGAAGGUCUUAGGGUUGUAAAGCUCUGUUUUAGGGGACGAAAGCUAUAGGGAGAAAUAUGCCCUGUAAAUGACGGUACCCUAAGAGGAAGCCCCGGCUAACUACGUGCCAGCAGCCGCAGUAAAAC
rnacentral:rRNA from 1 species